GCUGUUCCCUGAACGAAAGGGCGAUGGCGAUCAGGUUUCGUUUUGUGUAGAUUAUCGGAUUUUGUUGAUUCGCUUCUUCUGUUUGGGUUUGAUUUUAUGAUUUAGAUAUGGAUGGAUGGGUUUGAUUCUAUGAUUUAGAUAUAGAUGGAUUAAGUUUUGUUUAUCGCUAUGCUGUAGUGUUUGGGGAUGGAUUUUGCUACCGAUUAAAAGUGGAAUCUAAUGACCGUUGAAGGUUGUGACGAUAUGAAGAACCAGAGGUUGUGUGUAUUUGCAGGCUUGUUUUAUUGGUUCAGAUGAGACCCAAACAAGAUCGUCGAUCAUGGUGAAGUAGGUGUUUGGUAUGAAACUCCUUUGAAUUCGAUUUGGAUCUUCUAGUUGUUUUGUAUAGAUAGAAUUUGUUGAUUUGAGGCCGAAGUUCGUCUUUAUUGAUAUGCGUAUGUGUUUUGAUUGGCCUGAUGGUGAGAUGUGCCCUGAUGGUGAUGUGUGCCAGGGCAUCUAGUUCUGCUUGCGUUUUGAUUUGGACGGAAAACUGCAUGAUUUUGUUCUGAAGUUUAGAAUAUAAUGAUUUGGAAAUUUCCCUCGUUUUUUAUCAAUCAAAUAAGCGGAGCUUUGCUGUUAUUUUUCAGGCCUCGUUUUCGGUGUUUGACACACGAGGGUUAGAUGUUAUGGUUAGCUGAUAACUCCAUAGGUUCUUAUGGGAUCUGAUUGGAUGGCUAUGAGGUUGGAUUUUAUACUGUUUUGCGGAUGCAAUGGAAUGUUGAAUUUCAAAAUUGUCAAUCUGGAUCUAUUGAUUUGCAGGAGAUAUAGUAAUAGUGUCGCGGAUUUGAGCUUAUGUCUGCACCUUUUCAGUCUGUCUUUGGAUAGGGGUAGUGCACUCCAUUUGUAAAGGUUUUCAUUGGUUUGCUGCGUAUGGAUUAUUGUUUUUGGUUACGUGCUUAUUCUUUUACAGUUUGUCAAAAUGCACGUCUUUAUAUAUCUUUCAAGUCACUGAAAUUUGCAAGUAAUAUCAUGUUUAUGUCCUCCUUUUCCCUAUAAUCAUGCCGAACUUUCUGCUCUUAUAUUGACAGAUACUAAUUCCAGAAUUCGUGGGGUACAUUGUUAACCUUCUUAGUUCAUAGCCUUUCAUUUCGAUGUGUUUCUUGUUUCUUGGGUAUGUUCUAAACGGGUUUUUAUGUCCUCAGUUUUGGCUUUCUAUUGAUUUUCUCAGUUGGAAUGAAAGGGUCUAUUUUAAUUUCUUCUUAUCUCAAAGAUAUAGUAAUUGUUUUUUUUCAAAGAUAUAAAAUUAUUCAAUGUUUUGAUUACAGACCCCGAGUAUUUCUCACUUACCUCUUUAUUCCCAUGUAUGGUCUAUAUAUUUUGCUUUAUGGUCUUUGAGCUAUUAAUAAUUACAACCAAAAGUGGUUUGGCGCUUAUCUUUUAGCGUUAUGUUUUUUUAAAGUUUGUUCAUUUCUAUGGUUGCCAUUGCAUAUAUUUGGGCUUCGAAUUUGUAUAGCAGUGUGGUUAGGUAUUGUCUUGAUGAUUCACUAAUUUUGUGAUUAAAGUGCUUAUGGAGACUAAGUUGGAUGGAGCUAAAAGUUUAGGACACUGUUAUGGGAGCUAUUCUGGUUUGGUUAACAUGUUAAAUCUUUUUCUUUUAAUUUUUUAAUUUUUUUUUUAUACAAGUGUCUCUCUCUCUCUCUCACCCUAAAAUUAAUAUUAGGUACUAUGUAUUUUUCAGGUUUCUUCCAUUUGUUUCGAAUUGGCAUACUACCUAAGAGGGGGUUUAAUGCUGUUCCCUUUCGUUUCCCUUUUAAAAUUUUUAUUAAAUUUGGUAUUGAUUUUUUAGCAAUAUCUUAUGUAGAUGCAACCUAAUUUUUGUCUUAGGGACAAAGUUAUACCAUGGGGAAACGUUUUGAGAGCUCAAGGCUGCUUGUUUUGUUUGUUACCCUUCGUUGGUUUCUUAUUUUUGUUACUUGUUCAAUAUCGUGAAUUAUUUGGUCUGUCUUUAUGUUGGUGUCUUGCUUUAGUCCACAUUAUGUAGUGAUUAUCAGGAUUUUGAACAGUUCCUGGGGUUACCUUGUUUGCUGAUGUUUUGCAGGAAUUUGGUUUUAACGCCACAGUUAAUGAAGGAAUUGGAAUUAGGUUAUUGGGAGAAAAUGUUAAAUCCUUUAUCUCUCAAGUUUUUUAAACUUUUUAUACGUCUCUCUAUCUUUCUGUCUAUUUCACUCCUUAAUUAAUAUUAUGUAUUAUGUAUUUUUCAGGUUUCUUAUGUUGGGUUUGAAUUGACGUACUACCUAAGAGGGGGUUUAAUGUUGUUGCCAUUUGUUUCCCAUUCCAGAAAUUUAUUACAUUUGGUGCUGUUUUUUUAGCAAUAUCUUACCUUAAUUCUUGUCUUAGGGACAAAGUUUUACCUGGGGGCACGGGUUUGAGAGAUCAAGGCCACUGGUUUUUUUUGUUCACCUUCCUUGGAUUCAUAUUUUCGUUACGUGUUCAAUAUCUUGAAUACUGUUUUCUGUCUUUCCAUUGAUGUCUUGCUUUAGUCCACAUUAUGUAGUGAUUAUCAGGAUUUUGAGCAGUUACUGCAGUUGCCUUGUUUGGUGAUGGUUUUUUUUUCUCUUAUUUAUUUUUAAAAUUUUAUACAAGUCUCUCUCUCUCUCUCUCUCAAUAUCUCUGUAUUUCACCCCUAAAUUGGUCAGGUAUUAUGUAUUUAACAGGUUUCUUCUGUUGGGUUUGAAUUGACUUACUACAAUAAAAGGGGUUUAAUGAUGUUUCUUUUUUGUUUCCCAUUUCAUUUUUUUUAUUUAUACAUUUGGUAUUGUUAUUAUAGCAAAUAUCUUAUGUAGUUGCACCCUAAUUCUUGUCUUAGGGACAGAGUUUCGUCUGGGCGCACCAGUUUGAGAGCUGAAGGCCGCUGGUUUUGUUUGUUCACUUUCCUUGGUUUCUUAUUUUUGUUACUUGUUCAAUAUUGUGAAUUUUGUGGUCUGUUUUCCGUCGAUGUCUUGCUUUAGUCCACAUUAUGUAGUGAUUGCAUUUGCAUUGUUUGGUGAUUUGUUUUGUAGGAAUUUGGUUUUAGAUGUUUACGCCUCAGUUAAUUGGAAGUGGAAAUAGGUUAUUGGGAGAAUAUGUUUGCGUUUGGUUUUUGAUGAAAUUGUUUAAUUCUCUACUUGUUCAAUGUCCUAAAUUAUUGUGAGAACAUGUUAAAUAUUUUAAGAUUUAUAUAAGUCUCUCUCUCUCUCUCUCUCUCUCUCUCUUCCCCCUAAAUUAAUAUUAGGUAUUAUGUAUUUUUCAGGGUUCUUCUGUUGGGUUUGAUUCGACUUACUACCUUAGAGGGGGUUUAAUGCUGUUGCCUUUUGUUUCCCAUUUCAAAAAUUUAUUACAUUUGGUGAUGUUAUUUUAGCAACAUCUUAUGUAGAUGCACCUUAAUUCUUGUCUUAGGGACAAAGUUUCACCUGGGGGCACCGGUUUGAGAACUCAAAGCCGCUGGUUUCUUCUGUCGGGUUUGAAUUGACAUGCUACCUAAGAAGGGGUUUAUUGUUGUUGCCUUUUGUUUUACAUUUCAAAAAUUUAUUACAUUCGGUGCUUGUUAUUUUAGCAAUAUCUUAUGUAGAUGCACCCUAAUUCUUGUCUUAGGGACAAAGUUUCAACUUGGUGCACGGGUUUGAGUGGAGUUCAAGGCUGCUGGUUUUUAUUCACCCUUCUUGGUUUAUGGGGGGAUAUUUUCAAAAUCACCAUCAAUCUUAUUAAUCUUUUUUUUCUUCGUUUGAAGAUAUAAUAUUAUGUCCCUUACUUCCUUCUGUGCUGCCAUGUAUUUGUUCGAUAUAUGUUGCUUUAUGGUCUUUAAGCUAUUAGAUAAUUACUGCCAAACAGUGCUUAAGCCUUUAUGUUUUGUCUUCCUUUCGUUGGUUUAUUUCUAAGGUUGUCAUUCCAUAUAUUUGGUCUCCCAAAUUGUAUAGCAGUCUGGUUUGACAUUCUCUUAAUGAUGAUUCCCUAUUUUCGUGAUUUGAUGCGUAUGGAGAGUUGGUUGCAUUUAAUGUUUUUGACUCUGUUGUGGGGAGCAAUUCUGGUUUGGUUUCUUAACAAGAUCGUGUUAACUUCCUACUUUUAAAUUCUCUCUCUCUCUCUCUCUCUCUCUCUCUCUCUCUCUCUCUCUUACCCCCUAAAUGAAUAUUGGGUACUUUGUAUUUUUCAGGUUUCUUCUGUGGGGUUCUAAUUGACAUACCAUUUAAGAGGGGGUUUAAUUCUUCUUUCCUUUUGUUUAAUUUCCCAUCUUAAGGAUUUGUAAGAUUUAGUGCUGUUAUUUAGCAAUAUCUGAAGUAGAUGCAUCCUAAUUCUUGUCUUAGGGACAAAGUUUUCCUUGGGGCAUGGGAAUGAAUUGAGCUCAUGGGUGCUGGUUUUGUUUAUUCACCCUUCUUACUUUCUUGUUUCUUUUACAUGUUCAAUAUCGGUGAAUUAGAUUUUGAGUAGCUUCUGCAGUUGCCUUAUUGACCCUGUUUGCUUUCUUAUUUCUGUUACAUGUUCAAUAUCAUGAAUUCUGUGGUUGUCUUUCCUUUCGUGUCUUAUGCAGUGCAUCUAUUGCUUAAGUCCAGAGAUUUUGAGGAGCUUCUGCAGUUGUUCUAUUUGGUGAAUUUUUGCAGGAAUUUGGUUUUAAAGAAUUCUGUUGCAGUUAGUUCUUGGCUUGUAAUUUAAUUUCUUAUUUCUUUGAUGUCUGGAACCAUUCGUUUAUGCAGAUUGCAAAUCUUAUCUGUCUAUGGAAUCUCACUCUCCGUUGAAUAAAAAUGGGUUGCCUAACUAUAAGAGGGGUCUUUUAUCUGAUCUUUUUUAUUCGUACCGUCUGUAUAAUGUGGGGCACAUUGUCUGAGCUAUAUUUCUGCCUGCAGGCGUAUCCUAACUCGUGUCUGUAUGUGGAGGUCUCACUUUCUCGAACAAGUUUUAAGAAGGGGUUUGAGUAGCUUUUGGCUUAUGAUUUUGUUUCUUAUUUCUUGGUAUUUAUGAAGUAUGGAACCAUUAUUUGAGCACUCUUUUAUGCAGAUGCAUCCCAACACUUGUCGGUUGCUGGAGUCUCACACUGUUGAAAGAAAAAAAGGGGUUUUCUGAGUUGUUAUCUGAUUUUAUAUGAUUGGAGCCCGUAUGACAUCCUAAGACAUUUUUUGCUCAAUGUCUUUAUAUGCAGACCAUUACACUGGUCUUCUUGUGGGGUCUGAUUCCUUGAAGUAGAACGAGCUGCUUUUAAGAAAGGGUUUGAGUGGUUCUCUGUUUAUGAUUUAACUUCUUACAUGAGCCAUUAUUUGAGUAAUGUUUUCUCUUAGAGUUUGAUGCAUCUUGUGUAUUGGUGAAGAGUUUAUAAGAUCUGGUACAAUUGUUGGAGCAAUAUUCUAUGCAGAUGCAAUUUAACUCGCAUGUGCGUAUCCUAACUCGUGUCUAUAUAUGGAGGUCUCACUUUCUCGAACGAGUUUUAAGAAGGGGUUUGAGUAGCUUUUGGCUUAUGAUUUUGUUUCUUAUUUCUUGGUAUUUAUGAGGUAUGGAACCAUUAUUUGAGCACUCUUUUAUAUGCAUUCCAACGCUUGUCAGUUGCUGGAGUCUCACAUUGUGGAAAGAAAAAAAGGGGUUUUUUGAGUUAUUAUCUGAUUUUAUAUUAUUGGAGCCCAUAUGACAUCCUGAGACAUUUUUGCUCUGUCUUUAUAUGCAGACCAUUACACUUGUCUUCUUGUGGGGUUCCUUGAAGUAGAACGAGCUGCUUUUUAAGAAAGGGUUUGAGUGGUUCUCUGCUUAUGAUUUAACUUCUUACAUGAGCCAUUAUUUGAGUAAUGUUUUCUUUUAGAGUUUGAUGCAUCUUGUGUAUUGGUGAAGAGUUUAUAAGAUCUGGUACAAUUGUUGGAGCAAUAUUCUAUGCAGAUGCCAUUUAACUCGCAUGUGUAUGAAGUCUUUCUUUGUUUAAGGAGAGCUGGGGUUCUUUUAUAUGAUCUUUUUUAUUCGUACCGUCUGUAUAAUGUGGGGCACAUUGUCUGAGCUAUCUUUCUGCCUGCAGGCGUAUCCUAACUCGUGUCUAUAUAUGGAGGUCUCACUUUCUCGGACGAGUUUUAAGAAGGGGUUUGAGUAAUUUUUGGCUUAUGAUUUUUUUCUUAUUUCUUGGUGUUUAUGAGGUAUGGAACCAUUAUUUGAGCACUCUUUUAUAUGCAUUCCAACGCUUGUCAGUUGCUGGAGUCUCACAUUGUGGAAAGAAAAAAAGGGGUUUUUUGAGUUAUUAUCUGAUUUUAUAUUAUUGGAGCCCGUAUGACAUCCUGAGACAUUUUUUGCUCAAUGUCUUUAUAUGCAGACCAUUACACUUGUCUUCUUGUGGGGUCUGUCUGAUUCCUUGAAGUAGAACAAGCUGCUCUUAAGAAAGGGUUUGAGUGGUUCUCUGUUUAUGAUUUAGCUUCUUACAUGAGCCAUUAUUUGAAUAAUGUUUUCUUUUAGAGUGAUGCAUCUUGUGUAUUGAUGAAGAGUUUAUAAGAUCUGGUACCAUUGUUGGAGCAAUAUUCUUUGCAGAUGCAAUUUAACUCGCAUGUGUAUGAAGUCUUACUUUGUUUAAGGAGAGCAGGGGGUCUUUUAUCUGAUCUUUUUUAUUCGUACCGUCAGUAUAAUGUGGGGCACGUUGUCUGAGCUAUAUUUCUGCCUGCAGGCGUAUCCUAACUCGUGUCUAUAUAUGGAGGUCUCACUUUCUCGAACGAGUUUGAAGAAGGGGUUUGAGUAGUUUUGGCUUAUGAUUUUGUUUCUUAUUUCUUGGUAUUUAUGAGGUAUGGAACCAUUAUUUGAGCACUCUUUUAUGCAGAUGCAUCCCAACACUUGUUGGUCGCUGGAGUCUCACUGUUGAAAGAAAAAAAGGGGUUUUCUGAGUUGUUAUCUGAUUUUAUAUUAUUGGAGCCCGUAUGACAUCCUGAGACAUUUUUUGCUCCAUGUCUUUAUAUGCAGACCAUUACACUUGUCUUCUUGUGGGGUCUGAUUCCUUGAAGUAGAACGAGCUGCUUUUAAGAAAGGGUUUGAGUGGUUCUCUGUUUAUGAUUUAACUUCUUACAUGAGCCAUUAUUUGAGUAAUGUUUUCUUUUAGAGUUUGAUGCAUCUUGUGUAUUAGUGAAGAGUUUAUAAGAUCUGGUACAAUUGUUGGAGCAAUAUUCUAUGCAGAUGCAAUUUAACUCGCAUGUGUAUUAAGUCUUACUUUGUUUAAGGAGAGCAGGGGUGCUUCUAUAUGCAGACACAUCCUAACUCGUCUUAUACAUGGAGUCCAACAUUGUUGACACAGAAGAGCUUCUUCCAAGAGGCGGUUUCUUGUCUUAUUAUCUAUUUUCUAGUCUGGAGAUUGUAUAUGAUCUUGGGCCAUGAUUUGCACCAUUACUUUCCAUUCUAUGCAGAUCAUCUCGUCUGUAUAUGGGGUCCAACUUUGUUGAAGGAAAUCGCUUUUAAGAGGGAGUUGAGUAUUAUAGCCUUAUGAUUUAUUUUCUUCUUGGGUUGAUGAGAUUCGACACUUUCAUUUGGCAUUCUUUUGUGCAGAUGUAUCGUAGCUCUGCUUUGUUUCUGGAUCUUUUUCCACAGAUGUUGGGCUUUGUUGAUUUUUGUCUUGUGCUUUAAUGUCUCAGUUUUUAAGGAGUUAUGAGAUGCAUCCUUGUUCUUGUGUGUGAACCAGUGGAACUUAAUUCAUGACUGGACUAAUUUCUUAAGGAGGGUAUGAUGCGUCUGAUCUUUGUUGUGGCUCUCUUUUUCGAGGAGGGUUUUAGGAGUUCAAUUUCAAGUUAAUGUUAAUGGCGAAACCUCAGGAACAAGUGUCAUGCUGAGUUUUGUUUUCCUUUUAUUCAAUUCUGUAUGCUGAACCUUUGGGCAAUUCUUCAGUCAUUGUCUCAUGCAGAUGCUCGUUAAGUCUUACUUGAGUUACGUUGAUGAGGAUGAUUUUUUGAGUGACAAUCAGAACUUGUGGCACGGCGCCUGGUUUUUCAUCCACUGCCUUCUUGUUUUCUUGUUACCUACAUUUCUUUUCAACUGGUGAUAUGUUAUGAUGUUGUCAAUGUUUUUUGCUGUAGUUCAUGGAUUUUCCUGUGCGGAAGUUUUGUAGCUCGGAGUCUUACUUGGAUCUCCGUUGAUUCCUUGAGAAACAGACUCCACAUUUGGUUUCUUAUUCAUGGUCUUAUUUCAUAGGGUCUAUCCUUCCUGGCUUGAUAGUUCAACAUAUUCUUAUGGGUGAUGGGUUCCUAUUUUUUUAUUUAACUUAAUAUUCUUCUCUCAAAAUUUACUUUAUUUCUGUUUUUCAAAAGAUUAACUUAUUAAAGAUUUUGAAUUUUGUGUAGGGGCCUCAAGAUCCUUAAUUAAUUCACACAUUUUAAGGUUCGGCAGAUGCUUGUCUUUAUUGGUAUUGCUGUUUUGGUCUGUUUAAAUGUCUGUUUUGUCUGGUUGAAGGUGGAUUCAAUGCAGUCUGUUCAGCUUUGUGCAAUACUUUGGCCAUUCAGGGUUGGAUAUUUGUUCGUGCUUCUCUCUUUUUUCCCCUCUUUGACCUUUUCAGAAGGGCACUUGUUAAGAUAUUUGGUCGUUCAUUUGAUAUUUUAUUUCUGAGUGUAUAUGAUCUGGCACCACCAUUUGAUCUCAUGCAAUGUGUUUGCAGUUGCAACCUAACUUGUCUUUUACUGGAGUCGCACUUUGUCAGAACCUAGAACAUCUCUUUUUAGGGGUGGUUUUAUGUUCCUUUGCUUGCGAUUUAGUUUUUUGUAGACCAUAAAUGUGGCAUUUUUGAGCAAAUGUAUUAUGCAAAUUCAUUUCGCAUCUUUUUUACUUGAUUACAUAUUAAUGGAAUGGGUAAUCAAGCAAACUAACGGAAUCAUGGAUUUGGGCAUGUGCGACAAUCAAGAGGAAUGGGAGUUGCCUUUGUAGAGUGUACGUCUUUCCUUUUGGUCUUGUCUUCAUUGGAAUGUGGACUGCUUUUAGUAGUGUCCUGUGCUUCUUGGCUGACCAUUCUUCUUGGAUAUUGGGUCUGUAUAUUGUCAGCUUGCUCUUGAGGCCUGGGAGAAUGGGGAUGCUUUUAAGAGGUGUCUGGUACUUCCUGGCGUAUGGUCUAUUUUUGUUAGAUUUUGUCAGAUAUGAUUUGAGCAAAAAGUUUUGUGCAGCAACAUUUGUCUCUUAGGAGGGAGUGGGAAUGUGGUAUGCAGAUUGACGUCUUUGGAUGCAGUGAAGUAUCAUUGGACCGUAGAGCAGCACUUGCUGACACAUAAACUGAGUAUGACUUUGAUCUUCGUUGAUGGAACUGUUUUGUGAUGGGUCGUGAGAUUUGAUUUUGUCUUUUACAUAGUAUCUUUUUUCCAAUAUGUUUCGAAGUUUUAUUCAAUGAUCUCGUUUUAGCUGAGGUUCACUGAUGUUCAGGUUGAUCUGAUUGAUUUGGCAGCUGAAAUGGAUAGGAUGACUUGUUUUCAUUGUCUUUGGAUUUCAGCAUUUCCGAUCUUAAUUAGCUCACUUCUAUGUCUUGCUCGAUUUUUCCAGACUAUGGGCUGAGGUGUUGGAGGUGGUGGUUUGUGGUCUGCUAAAGGGUUUGGCUUUUGUCUUAAACAUAGAGACCUGUUGGCAUCUUUCGGUGUGAGUGCCUGGUUUGCUUUUGCUGGUUGUUUUGUUGUGGCAUGUUGCUUUUUCAUUCUGGCAGGCUGAAGUUGCUCAAGUUCGUGAUGGAUCAGUAUGUUGGAUAAUUGAAAUUUCCGUGCAGAGUAGUCCAUUGUAGAAGGAAGGGUUUUUAAGCUUGAAGUGUGCUGAUCCGUUUAGGUUACACAUGGUGUAUGCUUUUGUGUAUCAUUUGAUUUGUUAGUUUCAUCAGCUGAUAGUCAAUACUUUUUUCUAUAACUGUUCCUUUAUAUAGAUUUUGUGUUCAUUUGAGUGGCUUGAUAGGAUCUGCCGUUCUUUUCUUCACUUGGUGCUUCUCAUGCAUAGUCCAACUUAUUGAACAAUGCAUUGUGACACUGUUUCUAUGAUCAAUUUGACAUUUUAAAAGGAUUUGAGUAUUAAUUAUAUUGUUCAUUGUUUCUUUUAUUGGUUCAAUAAUGCUGUGGUUGAGCGUUAUUCCCAGCUGGUUGCUAAUCCAAAAAUGUGAAUGUGAGUCGUGCUUUAAUGCAUGCAUAGCUUAUUUUGGAUCUUGCAAAAACCUACAAUAUAACAAUGAACAAAUAUGCUUUAGCUGGAUUUUAAGCUCGUGAAGUGUGGAAGGGAUGAGGUCCUCUGAGAGAUUGCACUAAAUGUGAUACUUAUCUCUAAUUUAUGACUAAGUAAUUAACUUACAAAGAGAACAUGUAAUGUAUUGAAAGAAUAUAGCCCUGGUUUGUCAUUGUGGAAUGAGCCCUUUACAAAAAUUAACUAACAUUUCUCGAGUAGUUUUUCUUUUUGGAUAUUUGAAGUAUAUGUGUUAUAUGAGUUUUUGAAGUACUUUGUACAUUUGAACUAUGACAUUGUUUUGUUGUUUACUGUUUAUCAAUUGUGUAAUGUCAACUUCUUGGUAGCUUUUUCUCUUUUAGAUUUGUUUGGCUUUUAGUAUGAUGGUUAUGUUAUGUGCAUUGCUUUGUCUUUAGCUGCUGUCUGUUGUGUGUAUUUGUGUUUAGUUAGUUAGGUUUAAAGGGAUGUAGCUCAAAAUGGUAGAGCUCUCAGCUUGUAACCUGUAUGAACAAGUUACAACACUUACGAGAAGAUCAAGGUUCAAAUCCUUGCGUCCCUGCACCCCAACAUAUUUGAUAGUUUUUGACCUGCAUGUCGAUGGACUCGGAGAAUCUAAACCCUUGCCUCUCUAUCUGUGGUGCGGAUGCUGUCGGUAGCUGACUAAAAUGGUGGUUUGGAUUAUCUGUGGUCUUGGGAACCUGAAUUGGCUGAUGUGGUAAUGCCCCACCACCAAUUUUUGAUGUGCAACAAUUCAUAUUCCAUUGACUUAAAAUUAUUAGGACCGCUCUAUCUCUCA